rnacentral:rRNA from 1 species
UAGUGGCGAACGGGUGAGUAACACGUGGGCAAUCUGCCCUUCACUCUGGGACAAGCCCUGGAAACGGGGUCUAAUACCGGAUAAUACUCCUGCCUGCAUGGGCGGGGGUUGAAAGCUCCGGCGGUGAAGGAUGAGCCCGCGGCCUAUCAGCUUGUUGGUGGGGUAAUGGCCCACCAAGGCGACGACGGGUAGCCGGCCUGAGAGGGCGACCGGCCACACUGGGACUGAGACACGGCCCAGACUCCUACGGGAGGCAGCAGUGGGGAAUAUUGCACAAUGGGCGAAAGCCUGAUGCAGCGACGCCGCGUGAGGGAUGACGGCCUUCGGGUUGUAAACCUCUUUCAGCAGGGAAGAAGCGAAAGUGACGGUACCUGCAGAAGAAGCGCCGGCUAACUACGUGCCAGCAGCCGCGGUAAUACGUAGGGCGCAAGCGUUGUCCGGAAUUAUUGGGCGUAAAGAGCUCGUAGGCGGCUUUGUCACGUCGGAUGUGAAAGCCCGAGGCUUAACCUCGGGUCUGCAUUCGAUACGGGCUAGCUAGAGUGUGGNAGGGGAGAUCGGAAUUCCU